rnacentral:tRNA from 1 species
GCCCGAUUCGUCUAGCGGUUAGGACAUUGGAUUUUGAUACAAUUUAGAUAUCAGACCUUCCAAAAGCCGCGGUUCGAUUCCGCGAUUGGGCU